rnacentral:misc_RNA from 1 species
CCACGCACACGUGCAGUAGCACGAGGCUCCCCAUCCUUCCCCCUACCCACACCCACACACACACGCACACACACCUUCAUCAUAGCCCGCACCUUUCGCCGUUUCGCCCGCUCUCUCCUUUCCGUGCGUGUGUGCCUCAGUCUGUUGCUCCGCCCGUCUCCCUUCUCCCCACUGUUCGCCUCAUGCACAGCGCUCGCGGCGGCUCUCUCGCGGUGGCCGCCGUGGCGGUUUGCCUGGCAGUGCUCGCCACGGUCGGCACGUGUGUGUUCGACUCGCAGGAGAUCGGCGGCAGCUCCUUCACCUUUGCCGGGUGGUCGUCUGCCAGCAAGGAGGAAUCCUACCAGAGUUGUACCCUGACCGAGAAGGCAUUCAGAAUUCAAGGCGCUGCAAGCUCUCUGUCGGACGACGCCACGCUGCCCGGCGGGAUCCUGCGGUUCUCCACACUGCGUGUGUCGAACGGCUACAUCGUCGUGGAGAAGUACUUUCCCCGGAACACGAACAUCACCAUCAAAGAUGCCAGCGGCACCGUCGCUGCGGGGAUGCCUUUCAUCGACGCCAACACGGCGAUAUUCUCUGAUCAGCUCAGCAUCGUGGUCACCGACUCAACCCUCAGUUGGGCUGCCGCACGGUCGGGUCAGAGCAUGGUGCGUGCACCCUUCACUAUUCAGCUCUCCAGCUCUCUCUUCGUGCUCGGCAGCACCGUGGCGCAGGCCUCAUCCGUGGUAGAGGUGACGGGACCGAGCAGCAUCUCGCAGAAGUCUGCAUUGGCUGUGGACUACGCCAAGUGCACCGGCUGUGCUCAGGGUCUGGUGUACUUCACCGACUUUGUUAGGGUGUGGGACCGCAGCUUGCUUCGCGUCUCUCACUCCAGCGUCAAGGGCGCCGCCGGCAAGCCGCUGAUCGGCAUAGCACAGAAAGCAGGGGCCAGUCUAGCGGUGGAAAACAGUCUGUUCGUUGUCGAGAACGUGUCAUCGCCCACCAGUAACCUCAUCGACGCUCCCGUCAGCAUGGGCACCGAUGCGCAGAUCACCCUACGCGCUGUGGCAGUGAAGAGCAUUGGUGCCACGAUGGCCGGCGGCGUCACUGCGCAACUCUUGACGGCAGACGACAUCGCCCAACAAAUUCCCUCCGUUUCCGUGGUGCCGGACACCAGCUGCGCUGCGGCCUGCGUCCCCACGGCCACGGUCGACUCCCGCUGCAAGUGCACCUGCAAUGCUGACAUGCCGAACAUGAACUUCUGCACGGCCAUGAAGGACCCCUACACAAACUACGCCUACCUCGGCUGCUCGGUGGGCUGCACAACGUGCUUCAACGAGACGGCCUGCCUCGAGUGCAGGCCGAGCUACGAGAUGCUGCCCAGCAUGACAUGCUCGCUAACCGGACUUCAGUGCACAGACCCGAACUGCAAAACCUGCACAACUUACGGCCAGUGCACCGACUGCAACGACGGCUACGGUCUCACCUCCUCCAGCGCUUGCGUGCGCUGCAGUGUAGCGGGCUGCAAGAGCUGCCCCAUUGACGCUAACGUCUGCGAAGUGUGUCUCGGCGGCAGCGAGCCGGUCAACAAUAUGUGCCCCUGCACCGACGCCAACUGCGCCAGCUGCCCCAGCGACGCGGGCACGUGCACUCAGUGCGCGAACGGCUACGGUCUCGUGGACGGCGCCUGUGUGAGGUGCCAGGUGCCCAACUGCUUCAGCUGCGACAGCGACGCGAAUAAGUGCACACAAUGUGCGCCGAACUACUACCUCACCCCGCUCUUGACCUGCUCCCCGGUGGCCUGCAACAUCGAGCACUGCAUGCAGUGCGAUCCACAGACGCCGUCGCGCUGCCAGGAGUGCGUGGCCCCCUACGUGGUCGACAGCUAUGACGGCCUCUGCAGGCUCUCCGACGCCUGCUCCGUGCCCAACUGCAAGAAGUGCGAGCCCGAAACCUCCAGGCUCUGCGCCGAGUGCGACACCGGCUACACUCUCACCGCCGACGCGACGAGCUGCAGCAGUCCUACCACGCAGCCGUGCGAUGUGGAGCACUGCAACACGUGUGUGAACGGCGACAGCACCCGCUGUGCCUACUGCAACACCGGCUACUACGUCUCCGAUGGCAAGUGCAAGACCAUGCAGGGCUGCUACGUGUCCAACUGCGCACAGUGCAUGCUGCUUGACAGCACCAAGUGCUCCACGUGCAUGAAAGGAUACCUGCUCACGUCGUCCUACGGUUGCGUCUCGCAGAAAGUCAUCAACGGCGCGGCCGCGCCCUACUCUCUGUGGGUGGCCGCCGCCGUGCUCCUCGCCUCUGUUGUCACGCACAUAGCAUAGUGCGCAGCAGCAUGCGAGCAACCCCACUCCCAUUCUCCCACAACAUGUGCACACACACAGAGACAGCGGGGCAGCCCUCCCCCCCCCACACACACACACGCACUCCCCCUUCUCUUGUUCUUCUUUCCUCGUUUCGCAUCUCUUUCUCGUGCGCUGGCGCCGGCCUCCUGCACGUCGCUCCCCUCCCCCUAACCUCUAUUCUCUCUCGCCGGCCUCAUUGCUUCUUACCCUUUUCCGAUCCUUGCUCGCGUGGGUGGCCACUGCCACAGUCCCGCAGCGCAGACACACGUGUUUACACGGCGGAGGCAUCUCUCUCCAUCACUUCUUUUCUCCUAAAGCCACUCACCAGGUCGCACACCGCCCACCCCCUCCCCACCACCGGCCACCCUUCCGGGCGCAGCUGUGUGGGGGGUGGGGGUGUGCUCGACCGCGCUCCUGGCAGCUCACUCGCAUGUGUACAGCCACUCCCACCACUAAAGCUCUCUUCUGCGCACACACUCCACCUCCUCGCCCCACGCCGCGACCGCGGCGGUCGGCUGAGCACGAGUGCAGCGCGCGCCUGCGCUGCUGGUUGGCACGACAGCCUCGUGUAGAGGUGGGGACAGAUUUGGUGGGCAAAAGAGUCGGCGUCAACGCUGAGUCCUCCCUUAGGGUAGCAGCCCCGCCUCCACCACGACCCACCCGCAGUACCGGA